rnacentral:tRNA from 3 species
GAGACGCUAGUAAAAUUAAUUACACUGCCUUGUCAAGGCAGAAUUGUGGGUUGAAUCCCCGCGCAUCUUAU